rnacentral:rRNA from 1 species
UACGUAGGGUCCGAGCGUUGUCCGGAAUUACUGGGCGUAAAGAGCUCGUAGGCGGUUUGUCGCGUCUGCCGUGAAAGUCCGGGGCUCAACUCCGGAUCUGCGGUGGGUACGGGCAGACUAGAGUGAUGUAGGGGAGACUGGAAUUCCUGGUGUAGCGGUGAAAUGCGCAGAUAUCAGGAGGAACACCAAUUGCGAAGGCAGCUCGCUGGGACGUGACUGACGCUGAGACGCGAAAGCGUGGGGGAGCAAACAGG